GAAAAAAUAUUAGUUAAUAAUUUUGAAUUAUUGAAAUUUAUUAAAAGUAGUUUUAUAAUAAAGGUUUAAGUAUAUUUAUAAAAAAAAUUUGUUAACUUAUAGUUUAUUAGUACUGUGGAGGAAAUAUGAAAUAAUAGGAAGAAUUAUUAAAAUAAAAGAAGAAGUUUAAUUUGUACCUUGUGUAUCAGGGUUUAUUAAUUAAGAAUUAAGAAUUUUAAACAUCUCGAAUUAAAAAGAGCAAAAAUAAUAUGAUAAUUAGUGUGGUAAUAUUAUUAUAUAUAUUAUUUUUUGUAAUGAAAUGUUAAUCGAUUUUUAAGUUAUCUAGUUCCUUAAGAGGUAAAUUGAAUUUAGAAUAUUAUAGUUAAAUUUUAUUUUUUUAAUAAGAUAUAGAUAAUAUUUAAUGUGGAAAGGGAUAAGCUUUUCUAUAUUAAUUAUAAUUUUUGUAAAUAGAAGUAAAAUGUAAGCUUUAAAUUAGCUAUCAUUAGGAUAUUGUUAUAAAUUAUUUUUUUUUUAUAUUAUUAGAUUUUAUAGAAAUUUUAAUUUGUUUAUUAGGGUGAUUUAAAUAAUAAAUAUAUAUAAGUAAUAAUGGUGGAAUUAGUAUAUAGAUUUGUUUUAAAUAAUUUAUAAUAAAAUUUAUAAUAAGGAAUUAGGCAAAAUUGUUGCUCGCCUGUUUAUCAAAAACAUCUUCUUUAGAUUUAAUUUAAGGUAGGGCCUGCCCACUGAAAAUUAAAGGGCCGCGGUAUUAUGACCGUGCAAAGGUAGCAUAAUCAUUUGUCUUUUAAUUGAAGGCUAGAAUGAAUGGUUUGACGAAGUAACAACUGUCUCAUUAUAAAAUAUAAAAUUUUACUUUUAAGUUAAAAGGCUUAAAUAAAGGUGGAGGACGAGAAGACCCUAUAGAGUUUUAUAAAUGAUUUUUGUCAUAAAGUUUGGUGGUUUUGAAAUGUGAUAUUGAUAUUUAUUUUGUUGGGGUGACAAAAAGAUAAAAUAAACUCUUUUUCUAAUUAAACAUAAAUUUAUGAUUUAUUGAUCCAUUAUUAGUGAUUAUAAGAAAAAAUUACCUUAGGGAUAACAGCGUAAUUUCUUUUAAGAGUUCAUAUCAAUAAAGAAGAUUGCGACCUCGAUGUUGGAUUAAAGAUAUUAUUAGGUGUAGUCGUUUAAAUAAUAGGUCUGUUCGACCUUUAAAUCUUUACAUGAUCUGAGUUCAGACCGGUGUAAGCCAGGUCGGUUUCUAUCCUCAUUAAAAUUGUAUAUUUUAGUACGAAAGGACCAAAUAUAGUAAAUAAUUUUAUAAUAAUUAGAGUGAAAAUAA
rnacentral:rRNA from 1 species